GACGAACGCUGGCGGCGUGCUUAACACAUGCAAGUCGAACGGUAAGGCCUUUCGGGGUACACGAGUGGCGAACGGGUGAGUAACACGUGGGUGAUCUGCCCUGCACUUCGGGAUAAGCCCGGGAAACUGGGUCUAAUACCGGAUAGGACUGCGCGGUGCAUGCCGUUUGGUGGAAAGAUUUAUCGGUGCAGGAUGGGCCCGCGGCCUAUCAGCUUGUUGGUGGGGUAAUGGCCUACCAAGGCGACGACGGGUAGCCGGCCUGAGAGGGCGACCGGCCACACUGGGACUGAGACACGGCCCAGACUCCUACGGGAGGCAGCAGUGGGGAAUAUUGCACAAUGGGCGCAAGCCUGAUGCAGCGACGCCGCGUGAGGGAUGACGGCCUUCGGGUGGUAAACCUCUUUCAGCAGGGACGAAGCGUGAGUGACGGUACCUGCAGAAGAAGCACCGGCCAACUACGU
rnacentral:rRNA from 1 species